AUCGUGUACGCAAGUCAUUGGGUGUUUAAAACCCAAAGGCGAAAUGAAAGUAAAGAGUAGAAAUUUGUAAAAAAAAAAUUUUUUUUUACAAUCUCUCUUAAGGGAAGAUGAAAAUCUCGCGUACAUUAUGUGUGUUAAGAUUUUCCGCACUCCCAGGGCGCUUGUGUUUCGCUUUGCGAAUCGAUGCGCACCUAGAGCGUACACGAUGAUACCCGAAAGAUGGUGAACUAUGCCUGGCCAGGACGAAGCCAGGGGAAACCCUGGUGGAGGUCCGCAGCGAUUCUGACGUGCAAAUCGAUCGUCGGAGCUGGGUAUAGGGGCGAAAGACCAAUCGAACCAUCUAGUAGCUGGUUCCCUCUGAAGUUUCCCUCAGGAUAGCUUGCACUCGGUUGAGAAGAGUCUCAUCCGGUAGAGCGAAUGAUUAGAGGCAUUGGGGUCGAAACGACCUCAACCUAUUCUCAAACUCCAAAUAGAUGAGAUCCCCGGCUUUCUUAAAAGUGAAGCCGUGGGGAUAUGAUCAGAGUGCCAAGUGGGCCAAUUUUGGUAAG
rnacentral:rRNA from 1 species